UGGCGUAGCGCGCAAGGCCUCGGCUUGCUAAGCCGAAGGUCCCGGGUUCGAUUCCCGG
rfam:Habropoda laboriosa contig13716, whole genome shotgun sequence.